rnacentral:rRNA from 1 species
CGUAGGGCGCAAGCGUUGUCCGGAAUUAUUGGGCGUAAAGAGCUCGUAGGCGGCUUGACACGUCGGGUGUGAAGGCCCGGGGCUUAACCCCGGGUCUGCAUUCGAUACGGGCUAGCUAGAGUGUGGUAGGGGAGAUCGGAAUUCCUGGUGUAGCGGUGAAAUGCGCAGAUAUCAGGAGGAACACCGGUGGCGAAGGCGGAUCUCUGGGCCAUUACUGACGCUGAGGAGCGAAAGCGUGGGGAGCGAACAGGAUUAGAUACCCUGGUAGUCCACGCCGUAAACGGUGGGAACUAGGUGUUGGCGACAUUCCACGUCGUCGGUGCCGCAGCUAACGCAUUAAGUUCCCCGCCUGGGGAGUACGGCCGCAAGGCUA